rnacentral:rRNA from 1 species
UACGGGGGGGGCAAGCGUUGUUCGGAAUUACUGGGCGUAAAGGGCUCGUAGGCGGCCAACUAAGUCAGACGUGAAAUCCCUCGGCUUAACCGGGGAACUGCAUCUGAUACUGGAUGGCUUGAGUUCGGGAGAGGGAUGCGGAAUUCCAGGUGUAGCGGUGAAAUGCGUAGAUAUCUGGAGGAACACCGGUGGCGAAGGCGGCAUCCUGGACUGUUACUGACACUGAGGAACGAAAGCCAGGGGAGCAAACGGG